AUACGGAGGGUGCAAGCGUUAAUCGGAAUUACUGGGCGUAAAGCGCACGCAGGGGGAUUGAUUAGACAGGAUCGAAAUCCCCAGGCUCAAACUGGGGACUGCAUCUGAUACUGGGCAGCUUGCGGCACGCAGAGGGGGGUAGAAUUCCAGGUGUAUCGGUGAACUGCGUAGAGAUCUGGAGGAAUACCGGUGGCGAAGGCGGCCCCCUGGACGAAGACUGACGCUCAGGUGCGAAAGCGUGGGGAGCAAACAGGAUUAGAUACCCUGGUAGUCCACGCCGUAAACGAUGUCGACUUGGAGGUUGUGCCCUUGAGGCGUGGCUUCCGGAGCUAACGCGUUAAGUCGACCGCCUGGGGAGUACGUCCGCAAGGUUAAAACUCAAAUGAAUUGACGGGG
rnacentral:rRNA from 1 species